GAUAUGCUAUUUUUUAUUUCCAAGUAUCAAGUAUUCAAGAGUUUGUUUUGUAAACACAUGUUUACAACAGAUGCUGACAGUAGGUUUCAUUAAAUCAUGGGUUAUAUAACUUUAAAAUUACUCUAAGCUCUGAUGAGAAAUAAAUAUAAAUUUAAAAAAAAAACAAACCCAAACCAAAAACAUAUAGGAGCAAAGUAUGCAAAAAUACCCAGCAUAAACCAAUUCUCUUUUUACCACAGCACAGCACCCACACACUCAUACCAUCAGACAUACUCUACAAAUUUCCUUAAUACUCUACACAUUUGCUUAAUAAUGAGGUUUUAAAAACUAAACAGUUAUAGGCAGCGUGCCCACUCCAUGCUCCUACAAUACUACCCAGACUGCUGAUGUUGUGUACAAAUAAUUUGGUAGAGGUAUGCACUGCAGCCAGGGGCCAAACUCCCAUGUGCUCAGCUGGUGAAAAGAGCAGGUCUUCUUCCAGGAAAGCCUCCACUCAACUGUGGAUCGCACUGACAUAAAAUUUUCUUUUUUUACUGAAACUCAGCUUUAGAUAAUUUUGUAUAUAUUUUUUUGUUUUGUUUGGAAAUUUCCCCUCCAGGUUUUCAAAUAUGGAGUUUGCUACAGAGGCAAAUUUUCUGGCCUGUCGGUCAGAAGUGUGAUUAGUGCUUAUUAGUGCUUUCAGUGCUAUUUGGAAUACAGACACCUGCCCUGCAUGAGCAGCCCAGGCACAACAAGACAAAAAAAAAAUGGUUCAUAAUUCAAAAGGGAAAUUUUGUCUUCAAGAUUUUAAAACCAAAUGCCCCUUUGGUAAAUCAUAGCUCACUUCAGAGUCAAUCAGAUUUGGCCUUUUUCCAUUUCUAGAGAUAGAAUUUGCUCUUAUUCUACCCCUCUCUUUCUGGUAUUCCAUGAAAGAACAUUCAGAUUUCAAUCCUCAUUUUCAUUCAAAGGCUUGCUAAUAUUGCUAAUUUAGCCCAGUGUUUCUUAUCAUUACUACAGAAUUUAUUUUUAGCCCCUGCUUAAGCAAAGCAACUAAAUCAAGUAACAUGCUACAGCAGGCUGAAUACAUUCUACACUCAUGAGACUUCCGUGGUCUGUGUAGCUUUUACUUUACCUACUAGUGCUGGGCCAAAUCCUACACAGACUCCUGAAAUUACUUAUCCACAGGAGAGCUAGGUAGGAAUUGGCUCACCAUGAAUUACAAACACUGUCAGUCCAGACUUUAGGAACAGAAACACAUGCAGUUGCAUCAUUGACAUGCCUUGAAUAAGUCAUUUAAGUCAUAGUGAAUAUAUCAUAAAAUACUUCUGUACCUAUUAGCACCACAGUGUUGUUUAGUCUAUUGUCCAGCGAUUAUCAAGGUGUCUCACCCUUCCUCAAGGUGAACAACAUUUGGAUGCUUUUUGUAGCCCUUCAUUAAUUCCACAGCUUUUCACCUAUUCUAUAUAAUGAACAAAACACUGUUAGAGGAUAACUUUGUGACAACUGGUUUGAGAUUGAAAAAAAUUUUAAAAAUACAAUACACACAAUGGAUAAUGCAAUAAUUAGAAUAGUAAAAUAGGAACUGGAUGAAUAAGCAUCUAUUCUGUAACACUUGAAGUCAAGAAAACUUUGGAGCUGCUUUGAAAUUGCAAAGCUACCUCUGUGUUUAACAGGCUGUAUUAACAAAAAAGAGAGCUGAGCUGAAGGACUGGAGGGGCAACUGCUAAAAUUACUGACUGUAGUUCUUAACUGCAGUUUAAUGCAAUGAAUACAGCAACAGGACAUGGGUAGUGUUAACUUACCUCCUUAAUUUACGCAAUAAAUUAUAAGGAAAAUAUAAAAAAAAAUUCCUUCCUGAGGAUCAGGUAGGCUUUCAAACCUUUGUCCACAAAGUAGGAUGUAUUAGUGAUAUUCAGUGUAAAGGAGACUAAUCAUAUGAACCUGGCCAUAUCCUGUCCUCUCACUGAAGGCUCCACAUCUCUACUCUUGACAAUGUUUACAUGUGAUCUUUUUGAAUUGUUAUUUGUCAAACAAGAUGUUAAAAGAAAAAAAGAAGAAAGCCCUAAUUCCCUACCGAAGAAUAAAUCUACCACCAUGAUGUUGACUGCCUAUUUUCUAAGCACUCUGAAGUGAUGAAAAUGUGCAAAGAAUCAAGUCCAGUAUGUGAAGAACCUGAAAUGUGUUGAUUACAGGUUUAAUCUAUAAGUAGCAAACACUGUCCAUAGCAAUGAUGAUGCAGGUUGCAGUCCUGGUAAAUCUCUAUUACCAGGUGUUUUAAGCCCCUGGAAAGCAACCACAGCUGGAUGGCUUCAGCUGGGGGAACCGAGAUUCUGAAGCAUGCAGCGUGGCAUCUCCUAAGCCAUUGUAAAAAACACAUUAUUGAUAAAACAGGAAAAGAUAAGCUUGUUACGGAAGUUUUUUUUGUCUUUGAUCUCCAAAAAUAGUAGUAGCAACCAGUGAAUAGAGUAUAAAAGCUAAACAAGUUUGAUAUUCCCUACUUCACAUAUACUUGCUAAAGCACCAGCUUGUUAACUUCCAACACGAGGUAUGGUCUAGUUCUUCAGCCUCAACAUUGGACUAGUGAGGCCAAGAAUCUGUCUCCAAAAUAGCAGUAAGACACUUUGAACCUAUUUCUCAUCAAUUUUAUGUCAAUAUAACACCAUGAAGAGCUGUGGUAUCACAUGCACACUUAAGUGUAGUAAGGCAGCAAUUAUUCAGGCAUUUUGGGGGAAAACCUGCAAGAGCAGUGCAGAAGGUGCUGACCCCUGUCCCAGACAUGCUCUCUGAAGUUCCACUGAGCAGGCAAUGCUCUGCUCCAUUUGUGUGAGAUACUGACACUUUGUCAUCUGAACUUCUAGGUUGAAAUUCUGUGAAAGGGCACAAUUUGAGUCUACAGCAUUACUUGAGCAAUUUCAUUGGCUCUAAGGUCAGAAGGAUGCAUUUAUUUAAUCUAUCUCCCCAUGUAACACAUAGGUUUUCAGACAGAAAUUCAUAAAAUAAGUGAAUGGCAGGAAGAACGAGAAUGAAUCUUAGCCCAUUCCCACAAAAUAUUUUGAAUUUGAAUUCUAUUUGAAAAUAACAGCCUUCCUCCAUUGCUGGAUAUGUAAGUAGCCACACCUGAAUGCCACAGGAGAGUCCUCAAGUGCUACUUUGUGCUAUUCUGGUUACAGUUAUCAUUGAACCCAUGGGGGAAAUGCUCAGCAUAGAAAUAUUCUUUGGAUAAAGGAAUUUCUUUUUGAAUGCAGACAGGAUUCAGUCCCAUACUUGUAUAUGUGCAUUAUUUUCAAGUUCAUUACUUAAAUAUAUAAAUUUUCCCACAUAUUUAAAUGUUCUGCUGGAUUAGAGCCAUAAUGAAUUAAUAGCUAAUACUACAAAUUAAUAAUCAAUACUAAAAAAAACCAUAUUUUUGAAAGCACUGUAUUAAUUUAGGACCUUUCAAAUGUACAUUUCUAAUGCUUAGUAGUGCCUCCACUUACAUAACAGUAAGUUCUGAAGAACUGCAUGUUGCUACAUGCACUUUUAGAGAUAUAUAGGCUGGCCAAAGAACUGAAAGUUUCUGAAUAAAUACAAAUUGCACAAUAAUAUUCAAAGGUUCUUGCAGCUGCUCACACUGUACUGAAAGGCUAUAAAAUGUCAUUGGUUCUAAAUUAUAUCGUAUUUUAUCCAAUAUGCUCAAGGGGAAAAAGGGGGACCAAAACCAGGGGGCUUUUGACUAAAACUGGAUACAAGGACAGUCCCACUCUCCAGAUCUCUCCAGCCCUGCGAAGAUCUACAAAUUAUCUCCUGAAGGUGCUGAAUUCAUAAGCACCUAUGGCCAUGGCUGCAUCCAUUCUGAAGUUUUCUCCUUUAUGAGGAAACAAGGGUGAAUGGGAGGCUAAGCAGGGACAAUUAACCUGUUCACUCAAGUCCAUAUAUUUGGGCUACUCCUCCUCCCAUGUUCCUCCUCUAAAUCAGGAAUAAGUGGUUGAAGAGGGAUUUAGUCUGUCCCUCUGAUGGCAUGGUGGCACUUUGACCAUCACCAGAUGUUUCUCCAUAUUAUCUCUGGCUGGUAAGCGCAGGCAGGUGACUUGGAUUUGCUAUCAAUAGCAGCUUGUGGUGAGCAGGACACCUGCUUCACCUUUUCUUGUAUUCGCUGCCAGCAAACCUUUUGUGCUCAAGGACAGAGAGGAAAGGUGGUAAAAAUUACAACUUAAUGGAAUUUUAUGUUCUAUGGUGAGAAGAUCUCACAGUAGGAAGACAGCUUGGGCCCCUUCACCACAUGACAGGCAUUAUUCUUUUAUAGUUCCUGUGAAGUUGGUUUAGCACCAUGCAUCAACCACAACUACUGCUAGGUGCCCUCAACGUCUGGAGAUGCUUCUUCCUCCAGCAGUGACAGCCUCAGAACAGUGUUUGGUCAGCAGGUCUCAGUCCACAUACUGGUAAAUGACAAUGCUGGAAUUGACAUUUCUAGGACGUGAAUGUGUUUCCCCUGCAUACCUUUAUUGGCUUAGUUUAGAUUGUUAUAGACUACUCACGAGAAACCGUCCUUCACGAAUCAAUCAAAAACUAGCCAGUGUUUGGGUUUUCUUUCAGAGGAUGCUGGCUUAAUUGAUUUUAUAGAAAUAUAUUUGCAUUGCCAAAAUUAUCUAUAUCCAAAACCAGGGGAAAAAAUGUUUGAAAAGUAAGGAAUUACAUUUUGUUUUGCAUGUAAUACUUAAAGAAAAAAUUAAAUUUAUUUUCCAAUUAAAAGUUAAAAUCAAAAGCAUGUAAAAAAGGCUUUUUCAGUAUUUCUGAAGUUAAUAUCUUUCUUUCUACAUUCCACUCUUCAACCAUUUAGGAAAUAUGAAUGAUCUUGGAAGUCAAAGGGACAGGCUAUCCUAAAAAAUAGAUGGCUUCUACUGCAACAAGCUCUAAAAUCCCUUCAAAGCUCAGAAAUAGCAGCAGCUGCAGAAGUGUCACUUUUAUCACUCUCAUUCUUUGGCAUCAGUGCCAUUAGUUCCUGACAAUCCUAAUAUGCUCUUCCUUGGUUUUUGUAUGGAACUGAAGCACACAAGGCAUGAAAUAUAAGAGAUUGGGGCAGAUGAUUAAUCUUCAGUCUUUUAAAAUUCCCUAAAUGCUCUGUUCCUGAGGUAUUUGAAAAGAUUGUCACUCUUCACUUCUCCCUUGUGAUGAUAAAAAUGGGGAAGUGAUAAAAAUGGACGAGGGCUGGGCUGCAAUUACACUUUGUCACACUAUUUUGCCAAUUUUCACCACGGUAGAAAAUUCUUGCAACGAGCAUUUGAAACUGAAGCAAAAGGAAACAUUUUUCCAUCUAUUCUGAUCUCCUAUAGCAAAUAUAUACACACACACACACACAAAUAUACAUACAUACAUACAUAUAU
ensembl:lncRNA